UGGUCCGUUGGUGCCUUCUCUCCUGCCUGUCUCUGUCUCGGGGCCCGGUCCGGUACGUCGGUGGGAUAGGACGAAGCCGCGGUGGAAGGAGUAGUAAGCGGCCUACGCAGUUUCAAGCUGGGUCCCAGCUUUUAUUAGUUCUUCGGCGCUCGGCGGAGAACGGUGCGUGCCGGAGUGGUAGCAGGCAGUGCGUUCAGGUCCGGGAUUACCUAACGACCGUGUAGUCGGUGCGAACGAAUCGUCCGAGUGACACCUACGGACUCAGGCGGGGAAACGGGUCUGCGAAUCUACCAGGUGGAUACCAUCGGCGGAUGGGUAUCGGAUACGAAGUUGAGAGUCAAUCGUGUCGAGGGUCAUCGUCGACUUUCGUCGGGAAUCCAGUCGCGUGUGAUAAUAGAGGUUAGACGCGAGAGUGACUUCGAGGGGUACAAAGUGGCGGACAGUUAAGUUCGGGUCGCGAUCGAGUGUCGGUAAACGCGUUCGAACACCGCGACAACACGCACAGUGCGUCUCCAUUUAUUGGGACGAGAGAUAGGAAGGAGGGAACCGUCGAUUAGCCGAUCGAUGAUCGAUGUUAAUCGUCAUCGGGAUAUCGCAUCGGAUCAGGAUCGGGCGCAAGGUGUUCGUCUCGCCGGUCCCACGGGACGAGACACCAGGCUGCCCCGGUGGCAGUGACAGUUGCUGUACGUGAGAGUGUUUUGUUCGACCUAACCACGAGACCCGAGUUCUCUCCUCCUCCUUCGUUCGUCUUCUUGCCCUUCUGUUUGGCUCGCGGACGAACCGCUCCUGCGCGAAGGGGGAUAUCCUUAAACAGUAUACCAGAGGCAUUACCGAUCGGAAUGCUACUGUGCCAGUGAAGGUCGGUGAUCGGGUCUGAGAGGGGAGAAGGAGAGGGGAGAUAGAGAAUAAUAAGAAAGAGGGAGAGAAAGAGAGGGUGUGGAAGUUAGAAGUGCUGGGGUGCUGAGAGACGCACUUGGGCGCGGGGGUUGCGAGGUAAGAGAGAGAAAGAGGAAGUAAGGAGGAAAAAGG